AUGGCCAGCAGGUGGACAAAGGCACGGAAACAUUGGUCUCCAAGUAUUGCGAAAAAUUGUUACCCUAUAUACCACCAGCAGUUUGAGGCACUUGAUGAGUCUGUAGUCACAUGGAACCCAUGGACUCAGGAGCAUGUACAGAUGGUCUUUGAUAUACGACCCAUCACAGCAGGCAUGUUGACCGAUAGUGCAUUCUGGCUGACUCGCUGCUACUUAUUGUUCCUGUGGUGUGUUGAGCCUUACAACCCAGAGCGUGUCAUGAGACAGUUCGGUCUGUAUCAGGAGAUUCCACCACCUUUUCCAAGAUGUACGGACGAGGAAACCCAUAAGUAA
rnacentral:rRNA from 1 species